rnacentral:rRNA from 1 species
AUUGAACGCUGGCGGCAUGCUUUACACAUGCAAGUCGAACGGCAGCGCGGGCUUCGGCCUGGCGGCGAGUGGCGAACGGGUGAGUAAUUCAUCGGAACGUGCCCAGUAGUGUGGGAUAGCCCGGCGAAAGCCGGAUUAAUACCGCAUACGACCUAAGUGUUAAAGCGGUGGACCGAAAUGCCUCGCGCAAUUGGAGCGACCGAUGGCGGAUUAGCUAGUUGGUGGGGUAAAGGCUUACCAAGGCGACGAUCCGUAGCUGGUCUGAGAGGACGACCAGCCAAACUGGGACUGGGAAACGGCCCAGACUCCUACGGGAGGCAGCAGUGGGGAAUUUUGGACAAUGGGGGAAACCCUGAUCCAGCAAUGCCGCGUGCGGGAAGAAGGCCUUCGGGUUGUAAACCGCUUUUGUUCGGGAAGAAAUCCUCUAGGCUAAUACCCCGGGGGGAUGACGGUACCGGAAGAAUAAGCACCGGCUAACUACGUG